CCAGACUCCUACGGGAGGCAGCAGUGAGGAAUAUUGGUCAAUGGCCGGAAGGCUGAACCAGCCAAGUCGCGUGAGGGAAUAAGGCCCUAUGGGUCGUAAACCUCUUUUGUCAGGGAGCAAAGGCGUCCACGUGUGGACGAGAGGAGAGUACCUGAAGAAAAAGCAUCGGCUAACUCCGUGCCAGCAGCCGCGGUAAUACGGAGGAUGCGAGCGUUAUCCGGAUUUAUUGGGUUUAAAGGGUGCGUAGGCGGCCCGGAAAGUCGGGGGUAAACGCCGGGGGCUCAACCCGGGCGAGCCGUUGAAACUGUCGGACUAGAGACGGCGAGAAGUACGCGGAAUGCGCGGUGUAGCGGUGAAAUGCAUAGAUAUCACGCAGAACUCCGAUUGCGAAGGCAGCAUACCGGCGCGCAACUGACGCUCAUGCACGAAAGCGUGGGUAUCGAACAGGAUUAGAUACCCUUGUA
rnacentral:rRNA from 1 species